GAAAUGCGAUAAGUAAUGUGAAUUGCAGAAUUCAGUGAAUCAUCGAAUCUUUGAACGCACAUUGCGCCCGCCAGCACUCUGGCGGGCAUGCCUGUUCGAGCGUCAUUUCAACCCUCAGAACCCCUUGCGGGAUCUGGCGUUGGGGAUUGGCAUCCAGCCAGCCCCGAAAUCUAGUGGCGGUCCCUCCGCGACCUCCCCUGUGCAGUAGCGAUACCUCGCAGCGGGACAGCGGUCUGACCACGCCGUAAAACCCCCAACUUCUCAAGGUUGACCUCGAAUCAGGUAGGAAUACCGGCUGAACUUGAGC
rnacentral:misc_RNA from 1 species